GAACCUGCGGAAGGAUCAUUAC
rnacentral:rRNA from 6 species